AACGUUUGCUAAGUCUUAUUUACUAUUCACCAGACUAAUUCACGACUUUGAAUAUUUCUACUGUAGACCCAGUCCUGUUAGAUGAGGAAAUGGCUUCACUUCUGGGGACAUCAGCGUAGCACGUGUGGGAACAAAGCUCACUUUGACUGUCGGAAAAGGAGGAU
rnacentral:misc_RNA from 1 species